rnacentral:rRNA from 1 species
AUUGAACGCUGGCGGCAGGCUUAACACAUGCAAGUCGAGCGGGGGAGGUUGCUUCGGUAACUGACCUAGCGGCGGACGGGUGAGUAAUGCUUAGGAAUCUGCCUAUUAGUGGGGGACAACAUUCCGAAAGGGAUGCUAAUACCGCAUACGCCCUACGGGGGAAAGCAGGGGAUCUUCGGACCUUGCGCUAAUAGAUGAGCCUAAGUCGGAUUAGCUAGUUGGUGGGGUAAAGGCCUACCAAGGCGACGAUCUGUAGCGGGUCUGAGAGGAUGAUCCGCCCCACUGGGACUGAGACACGGCCCAGACUCCUACGGGAGGCAGAAGUGGGGAAUAUUGGACAAUGGGCGGAAGCCUGAUCCAGCCAUGCCGCGUGUGUGAAGAAGGCCUUUUGGUUGUAAAGCACUUUAAGCGAGGAGGAGGCUACUAGUACUAAUACUACUGGAUAGUGGACGUUACUCGCAGAAUAAGCACCGGCUAACUCUGUGCCAGCCGCCGCGGUAAUAC